rnacentral:rRNA from 1 species
UACGUAGGGCGCAAGCGUUGUCCGGAAUUAUUGGGCGUAAAGAGCUCGUAGGCGGCCUGUUGCGUCCGCUGUGAAAGUCGGGGGCUCAACCCUCGAAUGCCGGUGGAUACUGUCGGGCUAGAGUGCGGAAGAGGCGAGUGGAAUUCCUGGUGUAGCGGUGAAAUGCGCAGAUAUCAGGAGGAACACCUAUUGCGAAGGCAGCUCGCUGGGACGUAACUGACGCUGAGACGCGAAAGCGUGGGGAGCAAACAGG